ensembl:snRNA U6 U6 spliceosomal RNA
AUGCUCUCUUUGCUGGCAUAUACACUAAAAUUGGGAGGAUGUAUCAAAAAUUAGCAUGGCUCCUGGGCAAUGAUGACAUCAAUUUUAUGUAGCACUUCAUAAUUUUU